rnacentral:rRNA from 1 species
AGGAUGAACGCUGGCGGCGUGCCUAAUACAUGCAAGUCGAGCGGUAAGGCUCUGCACUUAGUAUUGGAUUGCAGCAACUCUAGGGUUGCUACAUCGGACUGACUCAAACCUGGCUAGGAAUGAGAAGGGACGGGAAGAUCAAAUAUUGGGUGUAGAGUACACGAGCGGCGGACGGCUGAGUAACACGUAGGAACGUACCCCAAACUGAGGGAUAAGCACCAGAAAUGGUGUCUAAUACCGCAUGUGCUCCAAGGAGUAAAGCUUCGGCGGUUUGGGAACGGCCUGCGUAUGAUUAGUUUGUUGGUGAGGUAAUGGCUUACCAAGACUACGAUCAUUAGCUGGUCUGAGAGGAUGACCAGCCAGACUGGAACUGAGAACGGUCCAGACUCCUACGGGAGGCAGCAGUAGGGAAUUUUCCACAAUGGAC